rnacentral:rRNA from 1 species
AUUGAACGCUGGCGGCAUGCCUUACACAUGCAAGUCGAACGGUAACAGGGAGCUUGCUCCGCUGACGAGUGGCGAACGGGUGAGUAAAGUAUCGGAACGUACCUUUCAGUGGGGGAUAACUAUCCGAAAGGAUAGCUAAUACCGCAUAUUCUGUGAGCAGGAAAGCAGGGGAUCGCAAGACCUUGCGCUGAUUGAGCGGCCGAUAUCAGAUUAGCUAGUUGGUGAGGUAAAGGCUCACCAAGGCGACGAUCUGUAGCGGGUCUGAGAGGAUGAUCCGCCACACUGGAACUGAGACACGGUCCAGACUCCUACGGGAGGCAGCAGUGGGGAAUUUUGGACAAUGGGGGCAACCCUGAUCCAGCCAUGCCGCGUGAGUGAAGAAGGCC